ACAUGCAAGUCGAGCGCCUCGCAAGAGGAGCGGAAGACGGGUGAGUAACGCGUGGGAAUCUACCCAUCUCUACGGAACAACUCCGGGAAACUGGAGCUAAUACCGUAUACGUCCUUCGGGAGAAAGAUUUAUCGGGNAUGGAUGAGCCCGCGUUGGAUUAGCUAGUUGGUGGGGUAAUGGCCUACCAAGGCGACGAUCCAUAGCUGGUCUGAGAGGAUGAUCAGCCACAUUGGGACUGAGACACGGCCCAUACUCCUACGG
rnacentral:rRNA from 1 species